CCUACGGGUGGCAGCAGUGGGGAAUAUUGGACAAUGGGGGCAACCCUGAUCCAGCCAUGCCGCGUGUGUGAAGAUGGCCCUCGGGUUGUAAAGCACUUUCAGUGAGGAAGAACGCCUGGUGGUUAAUACCCAUCAGGAAAGACAUCACUCACAGAAGAAGCACCGGCUAACUCCGUGCCAGCAGCCGCGGUAAUACGGAGGGUGCGAGCGUUAAUCGGAAUUACUGGGCGUAAAGCGCGCGUAGGUGGCUUGAUAAGCCGGUUGUGAAAGCCCCGGGCUCAACCUGGGAACGGCAUCCGGAACUGUCAAGCUAGAGUGCAGGAGAGGAAGGUAGAAUUCCCGGUGUAGCGGUGAAAUGCGUAGAGAUCGGGAGGAAUACCAGUGGCGAAGGCGGCCUUCUGGACUGACACUGACACUGAGGUGCGAAAGCGUGGGUAGCAAACAGGAUUAGAUACCCCAGUAGUC
rnacentral:rRNA from 1 species